AUGCCUGACAGCCUGUGUGGACGUCUUCUGAAAGCAAAAUACUACCCAGCCGGCCAACUGCUCGAUACGGUCUUUCCAAGUAACGGCUCAGAGGUCUGGAAGGGUAUUCUGCAUGGUCUUGAUUUGGUUAAGAGAGGGGUCAUAUGGCGAGUUGGAAACGGUACAGGGAUACGCACUUGGCGUGACCCUUGGAUCCCACGACCUCAUUCAUUCCGUCUGAUUACCCCUAAGGGGAAUUGUCGAUUCCAUCGGCUAGCUGACUUCCUUGAUGAUAAUGGUGCAUGGAGGUAGGACCGGCUGAGUGAGUUUUUCUGGCCAAUGGAUGUUGAACAAAUUUUGAGGAUCAUAACCUCACCGCGCCAGAGAUGUGAUUUCCUUGGUUGGGCUCCGGAUAAGAGUGGUUUGUUUACUGUGAGAAGCGCAUAUAAGUUGGCUACUUCUGCUCAUAAUGCAACCUUUGCCAAUGGGUCUUCUAGCUCCAGCCCGAAAGGAAAUAGGGGACUCUGGAAUCUUAUUUGUAAAUCCGCGGUCCGUCAGAAGAUGAAGGUUAUUGCCUGGAGGUGUGCUACGAGGACGCACUAG
rnacentral:rRNA from 1 species